rnacentral:rRNA from 1 species
CGAAACCUCAAGAUUUUAUUUUUACUAGUUUAGAACUACCCCUGUAAAAGAGUAUUUUUAGGUAAAGUGAAAAUAGGAAUAUAGAUUAUAGAUCGAUUGAGGUUAUAUCUGGUUCAGGGAUAAAAAUUUCGUAUAUAGGUCUAUAAGUAAAGUUUAUAGACCGGAAAAAAGAUGGUUUUAAUUUAUUUAAUGUUUUAGAUGGGAAGUGUCUAAAAUUAAAUAGUGUUAUGACUUUACGUUAGUUAAGUAAAUUUAUCUUUUGUUUAAGAACCCCCUUUCUUAAAACUAUUUAUUAUUAUGAUAGAAUAAGUAUAUUUAAUGACUUAUAGGAACUUGAAAAUUUUACAACUGUUUAUCAAAAACAUUUCCUUUAGAAAAUAUUUAAAGGUAAUACCUGCCCUAUGUUUUGUUUAUCAAUGGCUGCGGUAUACUAACUGCACUAAGGUAGCAUAAUUAAUUGUCUUUUAAAUGGUGACUUGUUUGAACGGUUUUAUGAGAGAAGAUUUUUCUUUAAGUUAGUUAUAAUUUAUAAUUUAAGGUUAAGAUACCUAAAUUUUAUAGAAAGACGAGAAGACCCUGUUGAGUUUUACAGUGUAUACCAGCUGUUUAAAUGGGACAUUUUAUUUCUUGGUGAAAUAUGAUAGAUCCUAAGUUAUAAGCUUAGAAAAAGGACAAAAUUACCACAGGGAUAACAGGACUAUAUUUACUGAGAGGCCAAAUUGAAGUAAAUGUUUGUUACCUCGAUGUUGAAUCGAAAUUUCUUUUUGGUGCAGCAGCCAAAAUAG